UACGUAGGGCGCAAGCGUUAUCCGGAAUUAUUGGGCGUAAAGAGCUCGUAGGCGGUUUGUCGCGUCGGCUGUGAAAACCCGUGGCUCAACUGCGGGCUUGCAGCCGAUACGGGCAGGCUAGAGUUCGGUAGGGGAGACUGGAAUUCCUGGUGUAGCGGUGAAAUGCGCAGAUAUCAGGAGGAACACCGGUGGCGAAGGCAGCUCGCUGGGACGGUACUGACACUAAGGCGCGAAAGCGUGGGGAGCGAACAGG
rnacentral:rRNA from 1 species